rnacentral:rRNA from 1 species
UACGUAGGGUCCGAGCGUUGUCCGGAAUUACUGGGCGUAAAGAGCUCGUAGGUGGUUUGUCGCGUUGUUCGUGAAAACUCACAGCUCAACUGUGGGCGUGCGGGCGAUACGGGCAGACUAGAGUACUGCAGGGGAGACUGGAAUUCCUGGUGUAGCGGUGGAAUGCGCAGAUAUCAGGAGGAACACCGGUGGCGAAGGCGGGUCUCUGGACAGUAACUGACGCUGAGGAGCGAAAGCGUGGGGAGCGAACAGG